AAGACUUCAUUGGUAAAAUCAAAUAAAUGAUUGUGAUUUUGUUUUGUGUGUUUUGCUUUUUUUUUUUUUUUUUAAACCAACAACAGUACACACUUCCUCCAAUAAGGUCAUAUGAACUCUAACAAGGCCACACUCCCCAAUAGUUGCAGUCCUGUGGGCCAACCAUUCCAGCUCAUUGGUAGCUAGCUGUUUCUGUUCAGCCAGCACACCCUUGGUAGCCUGGAGCUUGCUAUGUGUAAACCAAGCUAACCUUGAACACAGCUGCCUGUUGCUGCCUUCUGAGGUGUUUUACUUUUUGAUUUCUCUGAGUUUACUGCAUUAGGCUGUAGGCAUUUCAUUUAGGUUGAAUCAGAUUGUACUGCUGUUAUUUCACUUAACGCUAUAGCAUAGACAGGAUUGCCUAUAUAAAGACUGAAUAGUGUUCCAUUGCAUGUGUAAGCCAUGUUCUAUUUGUGUCCUCAUCUAAGGAUAGACUUUUGGGUUGCUUCUACUUCUUAGCUAUUAUGAAUAGUGUAAUUAAGGAUAGUUAAGAUCUCUUGGGAGACUCUACUGCCAGUUGUUUUGGAUGUGCAGUUAUGUGCCGCAAGUGUCAGUCAAUUGAACACAUACAUAUAAGUGAGGAUACUCUAGGAUUGGUACCAUGGUGUGUAAGUUGUCUCACUAAGUACAUUCUGAUGCUCACACAGGAGAAUCUUCUGAGUAUUCAUUUCUCAGAAUAUGUCCGGUCUGUUAAGUAUAUGUUUUGCCCUCAAAGCGGGAUUAUUGGAACAUUAUGUUUCUAUUUUUGUCAAAGGACAUCCAUUCUAUUUACUGUGUUAUAUUAAAUUUCAUAAUUUUUAAAGUGAGACUGAAGAAAGAUAGCUCAAUAAGCAGAAAUGCUUGUACAAAGAAAGACCAGAGCUUUAAUGCUCAGCACCCCCCUGAGGUAGUUGGAUUUGGCUGCAGAUGGCUAUAAUCCCAGCACUGAGGGGCAGAAAUGACAGCUCCUGGAUACUCUGUGGUCUGCCAACUUAACAGUGAGAGAUCUUUUCAAGGCAAGGCAGAGAAUGAUAAAGACACUUGAAGUCAUUCUGUGGACAUACAUACAUGCAUGCACCCCCCCUUCCAAUUGCAGUUGAAUACUUAUUCCAGGAUUAUAAGUGCAAGUUGUGAAUAUAAAUUCAAAACCUCUCUUUAUGCAUUUUCUUUCUCACUCUCUGCUAGAUUGGAAAGAUGAGAUAUGUCAGUGUUCGGGACUUCAAAGGAAAAAUUCUAAUUGAUAUUAGAGAAUAUUGGAUGGAUUCAGAAGGUGAAAUGAAACCAGGAAGAAAAGGUGAGGUUUUAUUUCUUCAGUUUGAUGUUAAUACUGAUUGAAUGCUUGCCUUAAAAUGUUACAGGGAAUACAGGUUAAGGAUUGGCCUUACUUGGUUGAUCCUCUUAUAAGCAGUUUGUAAUGAAACCUAGGAAAACAGCAUCUAUUGUCACGUUGAAUUGAUCACUAACUUUAACUUCAUUUUUAUCAGUUCCUAGGCAGAUUAGGCAUUACUUUGGAAACUGUAAAAUGAGAAGUAGCAAACUCCUGGGUUUAGUGUUUGCUUUGGAUUCAGCUCUAGCAAGAUGUUCUCUAAUACAGAGUCCUUAAAGGUCUCUAUCCCCUUAGUAUUGGUGCUUUGCCCAGUUCAAGCCUCUUAGCAUGUAGAAACAGUUUAUUCUGUUACAAAGUAACUAGAAACCAUUUGCACCAACUUAUGUUUAGUUUUCUUGUGACAAAAUAGGAGAUAAAAGCAACUUAAGGGAAGAAGGGUUUAUUCGACCCAGCCAGAAGGCAGCUGCUCACGUGGGGCCCAGUCAGGAUGUGGAGAGAAGAGUGUCCUGGGGCUGGGCUUGGUGUCACUGAGGCCUUAGGCGGGUGGGGCCACCCACAUUCAGGGCAGGUCUUCUUUCAUCAGUUUAAUCUGUCCACAGAUACUUGUGGACACUCACAGAGGUGUGUUCAUAAUGGUUCUAACUAAAUCCAUUGAGUUGAUGGUCAAGAUGAACUGUUAACUUGUGCUCCAGGGAGCGUAGACAAAGGCGCGCACAUAGUAGAGGAGGGACUGGUUGGGAAGAGGCAGGCGAUGGGCAGGAGUGGGAAAUGGGGCAUAGCAAGGGAGUGGAGGGUGAGAUACAUUAUAUACAUGCAGGAAAAUGUCAGGUGAAACUGUUGUACAUGGUCAUGUUAAAAAACUUUGAAAAAGAUUAACACUACACUACCUAAAUUUAUGUAGUUCUAUGGGUUGAUUUAGUUGAGGAAAUGCUUUCUUGGGCCAGUAAGGUAUGGUGCCUCAGCAGGUGAAGGCACUUGGUGCCAAGCCGUAUGAUCCAGGACCCAUGAGGUAAAGGAGAGAAUGGAUACUACCUAUACUGUGGAAAACUCUGUGGCACAGGGGGGCCCAUACAUGUAUGCAUGUGUGCACCCAUUCAGUGAAUAAAUGUGUAUUCUUUUUUAAUAAAAGG
rnacentral:lncRNA from 1 species